rnacentral:lncRNA from 1 species
GGCAGCCGCGCCGCCGUCUGCGGCGGCGGCUGCGUCCGACGGCGAUGACAACGUCAACAGAGAAGGUGGUUCAGCCCUAAUGUCGGUACGGGUGUUUUAUUUCAGCUUGGGUUGGUUCGGGUCAAGGAAGGGUACGGUCAUCGGGCCAGUUUCGUUCGAGAUUCGGGUUCUCGGUUCAGCAGAUUCGUCUCGGUUCAGUCCUAUAUAGGGUUCAACAGUUUUGGGUGUUUGUUUCGGGUCAACAGUGAUUUUGGUUCGGGUUGGUCUUGACGGCAACGGAGUUCCGGCUGGCGCACAAUAGUCGUGGCAGCAAGCAUCCCCUUUGGUCUCGAAGUCCCUUGGGUAUGGUUGACCAACUUAGGACGAAUGCUUUAUCUACCGAGCAAAGCAAAGGAGAUUAGUGGACGGCUUUGGGAGAAAUAUGUUCGAGUGGUUAUCAAGAACGCAAGCUUUUGAGA